rnacentral:sRNA from 1 species
AAAACUACCGUCAGGUGACAAGCCCAGCCAUGUUUAGACAACGGACCUGUCUGAUUAGCUUUGGAUCCUCGUUCAAGUGCCCAGGAUGUGCACCGAUGUGACCUUUGUGAGACCACCAUAGUACACAGCUACUGUGACUUCUGUCAUGUCAACCUCUGCAAGCCUUGUGUAGUUGAUCACAUCUCUGAUGAAUAUGAUAAACACAAAAUAAUCCGAUUCCAGGAUCGAAGAUCAACCUUGAUUUAUCCAAAAUGCCUAACGCACCCACACAAAAACUGCAAAUAUCAUUGUAAGAAUUGUGACAACAGUUUUAUUUGUUCUUCUUGUACUGCAUCUGAACAGCACAGAGGGCAUGUAUUUGUAGACAUUUUAGAAGUUUACAAGGCGAAAACAGAAGUUAUUGAAAAGGAUACAGAGAAGUUACAAAAUCUUAUUACUCCUAAAUACGAAGAAAUUGCACUCCACAUGGAAAACCUUCUUGUUGGCCUUGACGGAGGAUAUGAGAAACUUACAAAAGAAUUUUCAAAACAAGGAGAUGAAUGGCAUAAAGAAAUUGACAUCGUUAUAAACAAGAUGAAAACCGAGUUGAGCGAGAUAAAAGUGAAACACAAAGAUAUUUUACAGAAACAAUUGGAUGACAUUAAACAGAUACAGUCUCUUAUAAAUAAGGCGUCACUGGCUAUGAAGGAUAUUAGGAAAUCUAUGGAAGUAUCUCCAACCAUUGAAUAAAGCUCUAAAAUCAAAGAAUUCAGCAAGAUACCGCCCAAAAUAACGGUAACAAUGCCAACAUUCAUUCCAAAAUCAAUAGACCGUGACCAGCUGUAUAGAUUGUUUGGACAUAUCACCCCAUUAUCUACUGCUACAGAAGAAAAUGUCCCGUCACUUUACCAACCGGAACCUUUAGAUAAGGAAUUACUGAAGGAACCUGUUCUUGUUACCACAAUACCGACGUGGUAUAUCAGAACAUAUAGAGUGGCAUGUCGGAAUGACGACAAGAUAUGGACGAAUGGAUCGUGCAAUGAAAUAAGAUGUUUCAACAUUAAUGGGUCACUGCAUCAAACAAACACUGUAAAAUCGGACAAUGGCCUAAAAGUAUAACUGUAGACGUUAAUGGAGAUAUUCUGUACUCUGAUGAUUCAUCAAAGACAGUAAAUAUACUAAAGAAUGGACAGAUAGAAGAGUUGAUCAGAUUACAGGGAUGGAGGCCUGUCAAUCUGUGUGUCACCUCUACUGGUGAUCUCCUGGUUACCAUGUACAGUGAUGAUAAAACUCAAUCCAAAGUUGUCCGAUAUUUAGGAUCUACAGAGAAACAGAUAAUUCAAUUUGAUGAUGAUGGUAAGCCUCUGUACCCAGGGAAUAGUUGUACUAAAUACAUCACAGAGAACAGAAAUCAUGACGUCUGUGUAGCUGACUGGGGGGCUCGUGCAGUAGUGGUGGUUAAUCAGGACGGGAAACUCAGAUGGAGAUAUACCAGUCAUCCUUCAGGUACCGAAAACAAACCAUUUAAACCCUAUGGUAUAACAACAGACAGUCAGAGUCGUAUCCUGACAACAGACUGUGACAACCAUUGUAUCCAUAUUCUGGAUCAGAAUGGACAAUUUCUCCGUUACAUUGAUAACUGUGGUCUGAAGGAGCCGUAUGGUUUAUGUGUGGACAAUAAUGACAAUCUGUUUGUGUGUGAGUCUCGCAAUUUCAAUGUGAAAAAAAUCAAAUAUUUACAAUAGGUUAAAAUGUUUGACAGUGUUUUAAUGAACUUAACAAUAUCAUAUCAUUGAGACCUAAAGACAUUGCCUUCAGUAAAAAGUUAAUCUUAUAUAUGACAUAUAAAGUGUUUUAGAUUAAAAAACUUUGCAUUGUGAAAAUAUCAAAUGUUAAAUACUUGCAGUUGAUUUACGAUCAAGCAAUAAAACGAUAUCUUUUUAAACGAUUUUGUUUUCUCUAAAUUGUGAUUUACAAGCAAAUUUGAUGUGUGGCAAUGUUAAUUAUGUGUGUUUUAAAGUUAUGUAAUUAGGUUAAAUGGAAAAUUCCU